GAUGAAGAACGUAGCGAAAUGCGAUAAGUAGUGUGAAUUGCAGAAUUCAGUGAAUCAUCGAAUCUUUGAACGCACAUUGCGCCCUUUGGUAUUCCUUAGGGCAUGCCUGUUCGAGCGUCAUUUACAAAUUCAAGCUCAGCUUGGUGAUGGGUGUCUGUCCCGCCUUUGCGCGUCGACUCGCCUCAAAUGCAGUUGGCAGCUUAUCCCUCGGCUCUAAACGCAGCAGAUUUGCGUCGAGCGUCGUGUGGACGGGCUCUCCAGUAAGCAAACCCCCCAAAAUUGACCUCGGAUCAGGUAGGGAUACCCGCUGAACUUAAGCAUAUCAAUAAGCGGAGGA
rnacentral:misc_RNA from 1 species